rnacentral:lncRNA from 1 species
AUCCAGCACCAGCAGCAGCAGUCUCUCUCUCUCCUCGCCUCCUCAGCUCCUCGCAGCUGUAGCCUGUAGGUAACCCAGCAGCUUCUCCAUUCUUCAACCUCUUCCUCUUUUAUUCUUCAGAUUCAGAUUUUGUUCCAUUAUUAAGGGAUUAAGCUACUGGGUCUGGAUGCUUGCUAGCUUGUUGUUGACUUGUUGUUGCUACCUCUCUGCUUGUGCUGCUGCUGUUUGUUAUGCUGUUGCUGCUCGCUUGUGCUGCUUGGGCUGAUGCUGCUGCUGCUAGCCUGCUAGUGCUACUGCCUAUUUCUGAAUUUAACAGCUUGUGUUGCUGCACACUUGUUGAUAGGUAGCAACUAGCAAGUGGCAUGGCAUCUGGGAGCGCCACAGCUGGUAGCCAAUUUGUGUUUGAUGUGUUUUGCAAGAUGCAACUUGCAAUGAGAUGGGGGGAUGAGGAUCGAUCAAGCACUUGAUAAAAGAGACACCAAAUGGGGCAGUACUCUAGUCUAUUCUUUAUUUUGAUCUAUUUCUCUUUAAUUUUCUGUCUUAACUCUAUAUUACAUGGCAUAUUUUUAUUUUAUUUUAUAUAUACUUGCCGUAUCCCCGAAUGGCUGUUUUUGGAAAAUGCCGUAUCCC